UUUGAUGGCGACCGGCGCACGGGUGAGUAACACGUAUCCAACCUGCCGAUGACUCGGGGAUAGCCUUUCGAAAGAAAGAUUAAUACCCGAUGGCAUAGUUCUUCCGCAUGGUGGAACUAUUAAAGAAUUUCGGUCAUCGAUGGGGAUGCGUUCCAUUAGGUUGUUGGCGGGGUAACGGCCCACCAAGCCUUCGAUGGAUAGGGGUUCUGAGAGGAAGGUCCCCCACAUUGGAGCUGAGACACGGUCCAAACUCCUACGGGAGGCAGCAUG
rnacentral:rRNA from 1 species